AGCUCCAAUAGCGUAUGCUAAAGUUGUUGCAGUUAAAAGGCUCUUAGUCGAAUUUCUGGCCCUGUGAACCUGAUCCAAUGUCUAGUACGUUGUGCGUCGGUGUGCACGGGUCAUCCAUCUGAAGAGGUUAGCUCGUCCUUGAUUGGGCGGCUAUCUACCAAUUCAGAUCGUUUACUGUGAGAAAAUCAAAGUGUUCAAAGCAGGCUUUAAUGCUUGUAUGGUUCAGCAUGGAAUAAUAAGAUAAGACUUUGGUUUUGUUUUGUUGGCUAUAGACGAACCGGAGUAAUGAUUGAAAGGGAUAGUUGGGGGUGCUAGUAUUUAAUGGUCAGCGGUGAAAUGCGAGGACCCAUUAAAGACUAACUUAUGCGAAAGCAUUCACCAAGGAUAUCUUCUUUGAUCA
rnacentral:rRNA from 1 species